AUCCUCCAAGGCUAAAUACUCCUGACUGACCGAUAGUGAACCAGUACCGUGAGGGAAAGGCGAAAAGAACCCCGGCGAGGGGAGUGAAAAAGAACCUGAAACCGUGUACGUACAAGCAGUGGGAGCAUGCUUAGGCGUGUGACUGCGUACCUUUUGUAUAAUGGGUCAGCGACUUAUAUUCUGUAGCAAGGUUAACCGAAUAGGGGAGCCGAAGGGAAACCGAGUCUUAACUGGGCGUUAAGUUGCAGGGUAUAGACCCGAAACCCGGUGAUCUAGCCAUGGGCAGGUUGAAGGUUGGGUAACACUAACUGGAGGACCGAACCGACUAAUGUUGAAAAAUUAGCGGAUGACUUGUGGCUGGGGGUGAAAGGCCAAUCAAACCGGGAGAUAGCUGGUUCUCCCCGAAAGCUAUUUAGGUAGCGCCUCGUGAAUUCAUCUCCGGGGGUAGAGCACUGUUUCGGCAAGGGGGUCAUCCCGACUUACCAACCCGAUGCAAACUGCGAAUACCGGAGAAUGUUAUCACGGGAGACACACGGCGGGUGCUAACGUCCGUCGUGAAGAGGGAAACAACCCAGACCGCCAGCUAAGGUCCCAAAGUCAUGGUUAAGUGGGAAACGAUGUGGGAAGGCCCAGACAGCCAGGAUGUUGGCUUAGAAGCAGCCAUCAUUUAAAGAAAGCGUAAUAGCUCACUGGUCGAGUCGGCCUGCGCGGAAGAUGUAACGGGGCUAAACCAUGCACCGAAGCUGCGGCAGCGACGCUUAUGCGUUGUUGGGUAGGGGAGCGUUCUGUAAGCCUGUGAAGGUGUACUGUGAGGUAUGCUGGAGGUAUCAGAAGUGCGAAUGCUGACAUAAGUAACGAUAAAGCGGGUGAAAAGCCCGCUCGCCGGAAGACCAAGGGUUCCUGUCCAACGUUAAUCGGGGCAGGGUGAGUCGACCCCUAAGG
rnacentral:rRNA from 1 species